UACAGAGGGGGCAAGCGUUGUUCGGAAUUACUGGGCGUAAAGGGCGCGUAGGCGGCCGACUAAGUCAGACGUGAAAUCCCAUGGCUCAACCAUGGAACUGCGUCUGAUACUGGAUGGCUUGAGUUCGGGAGAGGGAAGUGGAAUUCCAGGUGUAGCGGUGAAAUGCGUAGAUAUCAGGAGGAACACCUAUGGCGAAGGCAGCUCGCUGGGACGGUAUUGACGCUGAGACGCGAAAGCGUGGGGAGCGAACAGG
rnacentral:rRNA from 1 species